rnacentral:rRNA from 1 species
UACAGAGGUGGCAAGCGUUGUUCGGAAUUACUGGGCGUAAAGGGCGAGUAGGUGGCCAUCUAAGUCAGACGUGAAAUCCCCCGGCUUAACCGGGGAACUGCGUCUGAUACUGGAUGGCUUGAGUUUGGGAGAGGGAUGCGGAAUUCCAGGUGUAGCGGUGAAAUGCGUAGAUAUCUGGAGGAACACCGGUGGCGAAGGCGGCAUCCUGGACCAACACUGACACUGAGGAGCGAAAGCCAGGGGAGCAAACGGG